rnacentral:rRNA from 1 species
AGUGAACGCUGGCGGUAGGCCUAACACAUGCAAGUCGAACGGCAGCACAGGAGAGCUUGCUCUCUGGGUGGCGAGUGGCGGACGGGUGAGGAAUACAUCGGAAUCUACUUUUUCGUGGGGGAUAACGUCGGGAAACUUACGCUAAUACCGCAUACGAGCUACGGGUGAAAGCAGGGGACCUUCGGGCCUUGCGCGAUUGAAUGAGCCGAUGUCGGAUUAGCUAGUUGGCGGGGUCAAGGCCCACCAAGGCGACGAUCCGUAGCUGGUCGGAGAGGAUGAUCAGCCAAACUGGAACUGAGACACGGUCCAGACUCCUACGGGAGGCAGCAGUGGGGAAUAUUGGACAAUGGGCGCAAGCCUGAUCCAGCCAUACCGCGUGGGUGAAGAAGGCCUUCGGGUUGUAAAGCCCUUUUGUUGGGAAAGAAAUCCAGCUGGCUAAUACCCGGUUGGGAUGACGGUACCCAAAGAAUAAGCACCGGCUAACUUCGUGCCAGCCGCCGCAGUAA